AAAUUCUAGUGUCGUACCUAGUUUUUUAUGGCUCUACUGGCAAUCUGGGUACAACAAUUUUUGGUGAUCAUCUAUCAUGCGCUGCAACUUUGCUGCUUCCUUCUCAGUUUCGCAAUCUCUGUGUGCAUCUCGUAGCACCUGACCAAGGUUAUCAGUAGGGCCAUUUUCUGCAAACUCAUCUUCAUCAGCCUCGCCCAUUAUAGUAUCUGCAAAACCUUGGCCUGCAACCCAGUCCGAAAUGUUGCCAUCCUCCUCCUCCUCCUCG
rnacentral:lncRNA from 1 species